UACGUAGGGGGCGAGCGUUGUCCGGAAGUAUUGGGCGUAAAGAGCGUGUAGGCGGUUCGGUAAGGCUGCCGUGAAAUCCUGGGGCUCAACCCCGGGCGUGCGGUGGAUACUGCCGGGCUAGAGGGUGGUAGAGGCGAGUGGAAUUCCCGGUGUAGCGGUGAAAUGCGCAGAUAUCGGGAGUAACACCAGUAGCGAAGGCGGCUCGCUGGGCCAUUCCUGACGCUGAGACGCGAAAGCUAGGGGAGCGAACAGG
rnacentral:rRNA from 1 species